AUGGAGAGGGAGCCGCCCACGCAGGGCCCCCCUAGCGCCGCCGCCACCUAUGGCUCACCCCGCCGCAGGGCGUGGAAGCGGUGCGUCCACUCCGGCCACCACGACAGCGCCACCUGGGGCCACGCCACCACCGCCGACUUCGCGCCCGUGCCCAGGAUGUGUCACCUCGUCAUGGCCAACUACGCCCCGCCCGACCUCCUCGCUGCGCUGCCCCUCCUCCUCGACCCCUCAAACGUCAUGCGCCGCCGCACCUAUGCCGACACGGGGGGCCGGGUCACGCCCUACCUCGUCUACCUCGACCACGCACACGCCGACUUCGUGCUCGCACUGCGCGGCCUCAACCUCGGUCGCGAGUCCGACUACGCGCUGCUCCUCGACAACCGCCUCGGCAAGAGUCGCUUCGACGGCGGCUACGUCCACAACGGCCUCCUCCGCGCCGCCGGCUGGGUGCUCGACAGGGAGUGCGACCUGCUCCGGGACCUCCUCGACCAAUACCCCGCCUACACGCUCACCUUCACGGGCCACUCCCUCGGCGCCGGUGUCGCCGCCAUGCUCGCCAUGUUCGUCGUGCUCAACCUCGACAAGCUCGGCAAGGUCGAGAGGGGCCGCACCAGGUGCUACGCCAUGGCCCCCGCCCGCUGUAUGUCGCUCAACCUCGCCGUUAGAUAUGCCGAUGUCAUCAACUCCGUCGUGCUGCAGAAUCUGGUUCAGUUAAAAACUGCACUGUCAAAUCUGGACAGCCAGCUUCUAUUGGUUGGACCCUUCGGCGAACCCUGCGCAAGCAGGAGCUAUGUGCAGUGCGCUGCCCUUUUUUAUCAUCUUGAAAAUGUCACCACUACUUGUUUUAUUCUCUGUGCACUGUGUUUGCUGGAGACUAACAUUCUCUUAUUUGACCAUGCAGUGAUUACCUCUUCAAGCUAUUGCUUAUUGGAGACUCAGGUGAGGUCCCCGGGGUGGAGGACCUCGACGCCACCAUCCGGAAGUCACCGAGGUGGAGGACGACGCCACCGUCCGGAGUUCCUCAAGGUGGAGGACCUCGACGCUUUGUACAUACAUCUAGAGAAGCAAUUCUUUUUCAUGAAGAUUUCGACUAAACUUGGAAAAAUUAAACUCAUGAGACUCAUUACCAAAACUAACACCGAAAGUUUGUUUCUCACAAUCUAUCUUAGCAUUAACGAUGUUCAAGAUGGUUCUACCAAAGAUAAUGGGACAAAAGUCAUCUUGUGGGGAACCAAGAACAAGAAAAUCAGUUGGGUAUUUUAUUUUCCCACACAAGACUUCAACAUCUCUGACAAUCCCAAUUGGUGA
rnacentral:rRNA from 1 species